rnacentral:lncRNA from 1 species
GUAUUUCCCCAACACAUAACCUGCUUCUGUCAUUUUUCACACUGAAGUUAUCUAAUUCAGUCUAAAAAGUGAAAUUUCCAGGGGAAAAAAGAUGUUGCUUAUGUGUCCUUCCAUUACUUAAAAGAUCCAUCUGGAGUUUAUUUUAAAUAAUACACAUAUCUUUCAUUAAUACUUAAAAUAAUGCUGUAUGCUUUCAGCAUUAUGUAAUGCAAACAGAACCAAGAUUAUUACUUAAUACAGCUGCUGAAUUUGUCUAUUUACUUACUAGUUUAGCUGUUUCUCUCCCUACCUGUUUUCCUAAGACACUGUCAUAUUACAGCAAACAUUUAAGAUACAAGGGUGAAGAAAAAUAGCAAAACCUAAAAGCCUGUGGUAAGAUGAAGCCAGAAGAAAUGCAAAAAAAAGCCCUACCACAUACUGAUCUAUAUGCUUACUCAACUAUUAUUAUUGAUCUAUACC